AUUGAACGCUGGCGGCAUGCCUUACACAUGCAAGUCGAACGGUAACGGGCCUUCGGGUGCCGACGAGUGGCGAACGGGUGCGUAAUACAUCGGAACGUGCCCGAUCGUGGGGGGUAACGAGGCGAAAGCUUUGCUAAUACCUCAUACGAUCUACGGAUGAAAGCAGGGGACCGCAAGGCCUUGCGCGGACGGAGCGGCCGAUGGCAGAUUAGGUAGUUGGUGGGAUAAAAGCUUACCAAGCCGACGAUCUGUAGCUGGUCUGAGAGGAUGAUCAGCCACACUGGGACUGAGACACGGCCCAGACUCCUACGGGAGGCAGCAGUGGGGAAUUUUGGACAAUGGGCGCAAGCCUGAUCCAGCCAUGCCGCGUGCAGGAUGAAGGCCUUCGGGUUGUAAACUGCUUUUGUACGGAACGAAAAGCCUUCUUUUAAUACAGGAGGGUCAUGACGGUACCGUAAGAAUAAGCACCGGCUAACUACGUG
rnacentral:rRNA from 1 species